rnacentral:rRNA from 1 species
CGAACGAACCUUCGGGUUAGUGGCGGACGGGUGAGUAACGCGUGGGAAUCUGCCCUCAGGAGGGGGAUAACGGCCGGAAACGGCCGCUAAUACCCCAUAUGCCGAGAGGUGAAAUGAAUUUCGCCUGAGGAUGAGCCCGCGUCUGAUUAGCUAGUUGGUGAGGUAAGAGCUCACCAAGGCAUCGAUCAGUAGCUGGUCUGAGAGGAUGAUCAGCCACAUUGGGACUGAGACACGGCCCAAACUCCUACGGGAGGCAGCAGUGGGGAAUCUUGCACAAUGGAGGAAACUCUGAUGCAGCGAUGCCGCGUGAGUGAAGAAGGCCUUGGGUUGUAAAGCUCUUUCGUCGGGGAAGAAAAUG